rnacentral:rRNA from 1 species
UACGUAGGUGUCGAGCGUUGUCCGGAUUUAUUGGGCGUAAAGCGCCCGCAGGCGGCUCGCCAAGUUCGAGGUGAAAUCUCCCGGCUUAACUGGGAGGGUGCCUCGAAAACUGGUGGGCUUGAGGCAGGGAGAGGGAUGUGGAAUUCCAGGUGUAGUGGUGAAAUGCGUAGAUAUGACAUAGAACACCAAUUGCGAAGGCAGCUCACUACACAAAGAUUGACACUGAGGCACGAAAGCGUGGGGAUCAAACAGG